rnacentral:rRNA from 1 species
AGGAUGAACGCUGGCGGCGUGCUUAACACAUGCAAGUCGAACGAUGAAGCAGAGCUUGCUCUGUGGAUUAGUGGCGAACGGGUGAGUAACACGUGAGUAACCUGCCCUUGACUCUGGAAUAAGCGUUGGAAACGACGUCUAAUACCGGAUACGAGCUUCCGCCGCAUGGUGAGGAGCUGGAAAGAAUUUCGGUCAAGGAUGGACUCGCGGCCUAUCAGGUAGUUGGUGAGGUAAUGGCUCACCAAGCCUACGACGGUAGCCGGCCUGAGAGGGUGACCGGCCACACUGGAACUGAGACACGGUCCAGACUCCUACGGGAGGCAGCAGUGGGGAAUAUUGCACAAUGGGCGCAAGCCUGAUGCAGCAACGCCGCGUGAGGGACGACGGCCUUCGGUUGUAAACCUCGUUUAGUAGGUAAGAAGGUCGUUCGUCGUGACGGUACCUGCAAGAAAAGACGAACCGCGUAACUACGUGCCGAGCACGCCGACGUACGUA